rnacentral:rRNA from 1 species
UUAGGAAUAUUCGGCAAUGGGGGAAACCCUGACCGAGCAAUGCCGCGUGAGUGAUGAAGGCCCUCUGGGUUGUAAAACUCUGUUGUAUGGGAAGAAUGGCUAGAAUAGGAAAUGAUUCUAGUGUGACGGUACCAUACCAGAAAGCUCCGACUAACUACGUGCCAGCAGUCGCGGUAAUACGUAGGGAGCGAGCGUUAUCCGGAUUUAUUGGGCGUAAAGCGUGUGUAGGCGGUUAAUUAAGUCUAAAAUCAAAGCCUGGGGCUCAACCUCAGUUCGUUUUAGAAACUGGUUAGCUUGAGUAUAGUAGAGGCAAGUGGAAUUUCUAGUGUAGCGGUAAAAUGUGUAGAUAUUAGAAGGAACAUCAGUGGCGAAGGCGACUUGCUGGGCUAUUACUGACGCUGAGGCACGAAAGCGUGGGGAGCAAAUAGG